CCUACGGGUGGCAGCAGUGGGGGAUAUUGCACAAUGGGGGGAACCCUGCUGCAGCGACGCCGCGUGGGUGAAGAAGCGCCUCGGCGCGUAAAGCCCUGUCAGCAGGGAAGAAAAUGAAGGUACCUGAAGAAGAAGCCCCGGCUAACUACGUGCCAGCAGCCGCAGCAAUAGGUAGGGGGCCAGCGUUCUCCGGAUUUACUGGGUGUAAAAGGGGCGCAGAAGGGGUUGCAUGCCAGGAGUGAAAUCCUGGGGCCCAACCCUGGUACUGCUUGUUGAAUGGCGUGGCUGGAGUGCAGGAGGGGCAGGCGGAAUGCCUGGUGUAGCGGUGAAAUGCGUAGAUAUCAGGAGGAACACCGGUGGCGAAGGCGGCCUGCUGGACUGCAACUGACGUUGAGGCCCGAAAGCGUGGGGAGCAAACAGGAUUAGAUACCCUUGUAGUC
rnacentral:rRNA from 1 species